rnacentral:rRNA from 1 species
GUUCGCCCAUUAAAGCGGUACGCGAGCUGGGUUCAGAACGUCGUGAGACAGUUCGGUCCCUAUCCGUCGCGGGCGCAGGAAAUUUGAGAGGAGCUGUCCUUAGUACGAGAGGACCGGGAUGGACGCACCGCUGGUGUACCAGUUGUUCUGCCAAGGGCAUCGCUGGGUAGCUAUGUGCGGACGGGAUAAGUGCUGAAAGCAUCUAAGCAUGAAGCCCCCCUCAAGAUGAGAUUUCCCAUUCCGCAAGGAAGUAAGAUCCCUGAAAGAUGAUCAGGUUGAUAGGUCUGAGGUGGAAGCGUGGUGACACGUGGAGCUGACAGAUACUAAUAGAUCGAGGACUUAACCUAU